UACGUAGGGCGCAAGCGUUGUCCGGAAUUAUUGGGCGUAAAGAGCUCGUAGGCGGCUCGUCGCGUCGACCGUGAAAACCCGCGGCUUAACUGCGGGCUUGCGGUUGAUACGGGCGGGCUAGAGUUCGGUAGGGGAGACUGGAAUUCCUGGUGUAGCGGUGAAAUGCGCAGAUAUCAGGAGGAACACCGGUGGCGAAGGCGGGUCUCUGGGCCGAUACUGACGCUGAGGAGCGAAAGCGUGGGAGCGAACAGG
rnacentral:rRNA from 1 species